rnacentral:rRNA from 1 species
ACAAGCGGUGGAGCAUGUGGUUUAAUUCGACGCAACACGAAGAACCUUACCUGGCCUUGACAUGCUGAGAACUUUCCAGAGAUGGAUUGGUGCCUUCGGGAACUCAGACACAGGUGCUGCAUGGCUGUCGUCAGCUCGUGCCGUGAGAUGUUGGGUUAAGUCCCGUAACGAGCGCAACCCUUGUCCUUAGUUACCAGCACGUUAUGGUGGGCACUCUAAGGAGACUGCCGGUGACAAACCGGAGGAAGGUGGGGAUGACGUCAAGUCAUCAUGGCCCUUACGGCCAGGGCUACACACGUGCUACAAUGGGGGGUACAAAGGGUUGCCAAGCCGCGAGGUGGAGCUAAUCCCAUAAAACCUCUCGUAGUCCGGAUUGGAGUCUGCAACUCGACUCCAUGAAGUCGGAAUCGCUAGUAAUCGUGGAUCAGAACGCCACGGUGAAUACGUUCCCGGGCCUU